GUCGUGACGUAUCUGCAAAACAAACAUGAUGGCGGCAACGGGAGCGUCUUACUUCUGGAGCGACGAAGAAACUGAGUUGUGUCUUUCGUUAAUAAACGAAUUAAAUAUAAUUGGAAGUUUAGAUGGAAGAAAGCAUCGAAAUGCUGACGUAUUGAAGUCUGUGGUGGCUACAGGACGCCGGUUUCCCAACUCGUACGAUGGAGCAAGUCAGGUCGAGUUACACAAUAAUGAAGAAGCAUUAUUACGAUACCAGUCACGACUGCGUAUCUUCACCCUUUGCGACCUUGUACUACGCGGUGAAAGGCUGACACAAGUCAGAGGUGAGGACAUGUGUAAUAAUUGAUGUCGCUUUCUUCUCCUGGGGCUGGAAAUGAGCUGGAUGCACCAUAUCUGCAACGCGAUGCUGGCAUUUAAUAAUGCUCAGGGGUGUACAUGGGGGGAACGUCGGGAGGUAACAGCGAUUUAAAAUACAUCUAGUUCAUGUUUGUGUAUCAGGGAAUUCGCAUGAAGCUGUGUAGGCCGGUGCAUUGGCGUCGUUUUUUAAACGAACAUAAUGCAAUGUGCUUGAACGCACCACAAAACAAGUGACAACCUUUACAGCCAAUAGGAGCGCGUCCACAGUACUGUUUUCAUCUCGCGAUUUCAGGUAGGCUGUACUGAGAGCUACCCACAAUCUCAUUGACAUCAGUGGCUGUGCGACGUUUUUAUGAACUAAAUACUCCUUUGACACUUUUUUUGCGGGACCCGCUGGUUCAGAGGCUGGGCUGCUGUGAGUGUUUGUUACUGAGUGGAGGACACAGGCUGCAGAGGAAAAAAGUUGGCUGACUCUUCAUCACGCCCCCCUGGGGUUCCGCCAGCAUCAGCGGAGUCAGAUGUGUGCAUACACAAAUAAAAAUGAAAUGAAAGCAACCUGUUUCCACUGCCAAAGGAAGGGUCCCACACCUCAGCUGAGCAGAGACAGACCUCUGAGAUCUGUGUGGAUGCUGAUGAGGUGGGCCUCCAACAGAGGGAGAGGAGGAUGAACUCCUUCCGACCAGCCGCAAAUGUCCGAUCCUCCACAGACUUCAGGAUCUCCAUCACAGCUCUCUACAGCCAGAUUGAUCAAAAGAGAGAAGGAGGAGAGGACCCAGAAAGAUUCAACCUACAACAUCCCAGCAGAGACAGAGGAGUGGAGGGUUCUCUGAUCUCCCAGAAACAACAAAAGAACUCUCUCAGGCUCACCAUAUAGUCCAACUCACAGCCUAAUAUACUACAUGUCGGACUUUUCAUUGUAACUACUAUCAUGUAUAGGUGUUCAUCAACAAAACAACAAUUGCUAUAAAUCAAUUGAGGUACAACCAAAGUAACGUAUGUAAGCUUGUUUUAUUAUGUGUUAUCGUACUGUUUUCAAUAAAUUAAGCAACGAUUC